rnacentral:rRNA from 1 species
UGGGGAAUAUUGCACAAUGGGGGGAACCCUGAUGCAGCGACGCCGCGUGGGUGAAGGAGUAUUUCGGUAUGUAAAGCCCUAUCAGCAGGGAAGACAAUGACGGUACCUGACUAAGAAGCCCCGGCUAACUACGUGCCAGCAGCCGCGGUAAUACGUAGGGGGCAAGCGUUAUCCGGAUUUACUGGGUGUAAAGGGAGCGUAGACGGCAGUGCAAGCCUGGAGUGAAAGGAUGGGGCCCAACCCCAUGACUGCUCUGGGAACUGUGCGGCUAGAGUGCCGGAGGGGUAAGCGGAAUUCCUAGUGUAGCGGUGAAAUGCGUAGAUAUUAGGAGGAACACCAGUGGCGAAGGCGGCUUACUGGACGGUAACUGACGUUGAGGCUCGAAGGCGUGGGGAGCAAAUCAGGAUUAGAUACC